GACGAACGCUGGCGGCGUGCUUAACACAUGCAAGUCGAACGGAAAGGCCCUGCUUUUGUGGGGUGCUCGAGUGGCGAACGGGUGAGUAACACGUGAGUAACCUGCCCUUGACUUUGGGAUAACUUCAGGAAACUGGGGCUAAUACCGGAUAGGAGCUCCUGCUGCAUGGUGGGGGUUGGAAAGUUUCGGCGGUUGGGGAUGGACUCGCGGCUUAUCAGCUUGUUGGUGGGGUAGUGGCUUACCAAGGCUUUGACGGGUAGCCGGCCUGAGAGGGUGACCGGCCACAUUGGGACUGAGAUACGGCCCAGACUCCUACGGGAGGCAGCAGUGGGGAAUAUUGCACAAUGGGCGGAAGCCUGAUGCAGCAACGCCGCGUGCGGGAUGACGGCCUUCGGGUUGUAAACCGCUUUCGCCUGUGACGAAGCGUGAGUGACGGUAAUGGGUAAAGAAGCACCGGCUAACUACGUGCCAGCAGCCGCGGUGAUACGUAGGGUGCGAGCGUUGUCCGGAUUUAUUGGGCGUAAAGGGCUCGUAGGUGGUUGAUCGCGUCGGAAGUGUAAUCUUGGGGCUUAACCCUGAGCGUGCUUUCGAUACGGGUUGACUUGAGGAAGGUAGGGGAGAAUGGAAUUCCUGGUGGAGCGGUGGAAUGCGCAGAUAUCAGGAGGAACACCAGUGGCGAAGGCGGUUCUCUGGGCCUUUCCUGACGCUGAGGAGCGAAAGCGUGGGGAGCGAACAGGCUUAGAUACCCUGGUAGUCCACGCUGUAAACGGUGGGUACUAGGUGUGGGGUCCAUUCCACGGGUUCCGUGCCGUAGCUAACGCUUUAAGUACCCCGCCUGGGGAGUACGGCCGCAAGGCUAAAACUCAAAGGAAUUGACGGGGCCCCGCACAAGCGGCGGAGCAUGCGGAUUAAUUCGAUGCAACGCGUAGAACCUUACCUGGGUUUGACAUGGAUCGGGAGUGCUCAGAGAUGGGUGUGCCUCUUUUGGGGUCGGUUCACAGGUGGUGCAUGGCUGUCGUCAGCUCGUGUCGUGAGAUGUUGGGUUAAGUCCCGCAACGAGCGCAACCCUUGUUCACUGUUGCCAGCACGUUAUGGUGGGGACUCAGUGGAGACCGCCGGGGUCAACUCGGAGGAAGGUGGGGAUGACGUCAAGUUAUCAUGCCCCUUAUGUCCAGGGCUUCACGCAUGCUACAAUGGCUGGUACAGAGAGUGGCGAGCCUGUGAGGGUGAGCGAAUCCCGGAAAGCCGGUCUCAGUUCGGAUUGGGGUCUGCAACUCGACCUCAUGAAGUCGGAGUCGCUAGUAAUCGCAGAUCAGCAACGCUGCGGUGAAUACGUUCCCGGGGCU
rnacentral:rRNA from 1 species